rnacentral:rRNA from 1 species
AGGCAUGUGGUUAAUUCGAGGCUACACGAAGAACCUUACCUGGGUUUGACAUGUACGAGUAAGUCCCAAGAAACUGGACCCUAUGCGUAGCAAUACGUAUACCCGUACACAGGUGGUGCAUGGUUGUCGUCAGCUCGUGCCGUGAGGUGUAAGGUUAAGUCCUUGAACGAGCGCAACCCACGUGGUUAUUUGCUCUUGGUCGCAAGGCCAAGCACUAUAACCAAACCGCUACCGACGAGGUAGAGGAAGGUGUGGAUGACGUCAAAUCAUCACGCCCCUUAUGUCCAGGGCUACACACAUGCGACAAUGGUUGGAACAAUGAGUUGCAAACCAGUAAUGGCAAGCUAAUCUCCAACACCAGCCCCAGUACGGAUCGAGGGUUGAAACUCACCCUCGUGAAGAUGGAGUUGCUAGUAAACGCAAGUCAGCCAUAUUGCGUUGAAUACGUUCCCGGGCCUU